rnacentral:lncRNA from 1 species
GCGCUCACUUCCGGUGCCGGUUAAGUGUUUCCUGGAGACGAGCUGCGGCUGUUUUGAAAAGAACAUGAAGCACGACUCUGACUCUGAUCUCGACGAAAGAAUCGAAACAUUGAAGCAGAAGUAUGCUCAGAGGCGCAACCAGGCUCCAGACGCGUCUGCUGAUGGACACACGCCAGACCACCGCACGGCUCUCAGAGAGCGCUACAGGACGCGUUCUGACCUGCCACAGAGGUCAGGGGUCAGGGGUCAGGGGUCAUCUGCUGUAGUUAAGCUGGCUUGAGAAAGAUCU